rnacentral:rRNA from 1 species
GAUGAACGCUGGUUGCGUGCCUAAUACAUGCAAGUCGAGCGAACGGACGAGAAGCUUGCUUCUCUGAUGUUAGCGGCGGACGGGUGAGUAACACGUGGAUAACCUACCUAUAAGACUGGGAUAACUUCGGGAAACCGGAGCUAAUACCGGAUAAUAUUUUGAACCGCAUGGUUCAAAAGUGAAAGACGGUCUUGCUGUCACUUAUAGAUGGAUCCGCGCUGCAUUAGCUAGUUGGUAAGGUAACGGCUUACCAAGGCAACGAUGCAUAGCCGACCUGAGAGGGUGAUCGGCCACACUGGAACUGAGACACGGUCCAGACUCCUACGGGAGGCAGCAGUAGGGAAUCUUCCGCAAUGGGCGAAAGCCUGACGGAGCAACGCCGCGUGAGUGAUGAAGGUCUUCGGAUCGUAAAACUCUGUUAUUAGGGAAGAACAUAUGUGUAAGUAACUGUGCGCAUCUUGACGGUACCUAAUCAGAAAGCCACGGCUAACUACGUGCCAGCAGCCGCGGUAAUACGUAGGUGGCAAGCGUUAUCCGGAAUUAUUGGGCGUAAAGCGCGCGUAGGCGGUUUUUUAAGUCUGAUGUGAAAGCCCACGGCUCAACCGUGGAGGGUCAUUGGAAACUGGAAAACUUGAGUGCAGAAGAGGAAAGUGGAAUUCCAUGUGUAGCGGUGAAAUGCGCAGAGAUAUGGAGGAACACCAGUGGCGAAGGCGACUUUCUGGUCUGUAACUGACGCUGAUGUGCGAAAGCGUGGGGAUCAAACAGGAUUAGAUACCCUGGUAGUCCACGCCGUAAACGAUGAGUGCUAAGUGUUAGGGGGUUUCCGCCCCUUAGUGCUGCAGCUAACGCAUUAAGCACUCCGCCUGGGGAGUACGACCGCAAGGUUGAAACUCAAAGGAAUUGACGGGGACCCGCACAAGCGGUGGAGCAUGUGGUUUAAUUCGAAGCAACGCGAAGAACCUUACCAAAUCUUGACAUCCUUUGACAACUCUAGAGAUAGAGCCUUCCCCUUCGGGGGACAAAGUGACAGGUGGUGCAUGGUUGUCGUCAGCUCGUGUCGUGAGAUGUUGGGUUAAGUCCCGCAACGAGCGCAACCCUUAAGCUUAGUUGCCAUCAUUAAGUUGGGCACUCUAAGUUGACUGCCGGUGACAAACCGGAGGAAGGUGGGGAUGACGUCAAAUCAUCAUGCCCCUUAUGAUUUGGGCUACACACGUGCUACAAUGGACAAUACAAAGGGCAGCGAAACCGCGAGGUCAAGCAAAUCCCAUAAAGUUGUUCUCAGUUCGGAUUGUAGUCUGCAACUCGACUACAUGAAGCUGGAAUCGCUAGUAAUCGUAGAUCAGCAUGCUACGGUGAAUACGUUCCCGGGUCU